UACGUAGGGUGCGAGCGUUGCCCGGAUUUAUUGGGCGUAAAGGGCGCGUAGGCGGCUCGGCACGUCCGUUGUGAAAUCGCCCGGCUCAACUGGGCGGGGUCAGCGGAUACGGUCGAGCUUGAGCAAGCUAGGGGGUAAUGGAAUUCCCGGUGUAGUGGUGGAAUGCGUAGAUAUCGGGAGGAAGACCAGUGGCGAAGGCGGGUCUCUGGACAGUUCCUGACGCUGAGGCACGAAGGCCAGGGGAGCAAACGGG
rnacentral:rRNA from 1 species